UGGCUCAGACGGUAAAGCGUCUGCCUACAAUGCGGGAAACCCAGGUUCAAUUCCUGG
rnacentral:tRNA from 1 species